rnacentral:rRNA from 1 species
GACGAACGCUGGCGGCGUGCUUAAAACAUGCAAGUCGAACGGACUUCUCAUGAAGCUUGCGAUUGAGAAGUUAGUGGCGGACGGGUGAGUAACGCGUGGGCAACCUGCCCCUGAGCCCGGGAUAACAGUUCGAAAGGACUGCUAAGACCGGAUAUACUUGCGGUGAAGCAUUUCACUGCAAGGAAAGGGAACGCUCAGGGAUGGGGCCCGCGUCCCAUUAGCUAGUUGGUGAGGUAACGGCCCACCAAGGCGACGAUGGGUAGCCGGCCUGAGAGGGUGAACGGCCACACUGGGACUGAGACACGGCCCAGACUCCUACGGGAGGCAGCAGUUGGGAAUCUUCGGCAAUGGGCGCAAGCCUGACCGAGCAACGCCGCGUGAGUGAUGAAGGUUUUCGGAUUGUAAAGCUCUGUCUUCCGGGACGAUAAUGACGGUACCGGAGGAGAAAGCCACGGCUAACUACGUGCCAGCAGCCGCGGUAAAAGUUGUGUGUA